AGUUUUCACUAAUACAGUUGGCA
rnacentral:miRNA from 12 species